CCUACGGGUGGCAGCAGUGAGGAAUAUUGGUCAAUGGGCGGGAGCCUGAACCAGCCAAGUCGCGUGAGGGAAGACGGUCCUAUGGACUGUAAACCUCUUUAGGCGGGGAGCAAUUCCGGGCACGUGUGCCCGGAGGGAGAGUACCCGCAGAAUAAGCAUCGGCUAACACCGGUCCAGCAGCCGCGGUAAUACGGGGGAUGCGAGCGUUAUCCGGAGUUAUUGGGUUUAAAGGGUGCGUAGGAGGAGUUUUAAGUCAGCGGGAAAAUGUCCGGGAUCACCCCGGGCCGGCUUUUGAAACUGGGGAGCUUGAGUGGGGGAGAAGUAUGCGGAAUGCGUGGUGUAGCGGUGAAAUGCAUAGAUAUCAGGAAGAACUCCGAUGGCGAAGGCAGCAUACUGGCGCCCGACUGACGCUGAGGCACGAAAGCGUGGGGAUCGAACAGGAUUAGAUACCCCUGUAGUC
rnacentral:rRNA from 1 species